rnacentral:rRNA from 1 species
GACGAACGCUGGCGGCGUGCUUAACACAUGCAAGUCGAACGGUAAGGCCCUUCGGGGUACACGAGUGGCGAACGGGUGAGUAACACGUGGGUGAUCUGCCCUGCACUUCGGGAUAAGCCUGGGAAACUGGGUCUAAUACCGGAUAGGACCACUGCCUGCAUGGGUGGUGGUGGAAAGCUUUUGCGGUGUGGGAUGGGCCCGCGGCCUAUCAGCUUGUUGGUGGGGUGAUGGCCUUCCAAGGCGACGACGGGUAGCCGGCCUGGGCGGGUGACCGGCCACACGGGGACUGAGAUACGGCCCAGACGCCUACGGGAGGCAGCAGUGGGGAAUAUUGCCCAAUGGGCGCAAGCCUGAUGCAGCGACGCCGCGUGAGGGAUGACGGCCUUCGGGUUGUAAACCUCUUUCAGCACCGACGAAGCGCAAGUGACGGUAGGUGCAGAAGAAGGACCGGCCAACUACGUGCCAGCCGCCGCCGUAA